rnacentral:rRNA from 1 species
GCUGGCGGCGUGCCUAAUACAUGCAAGUAGAACGCUGAAGACUUUAGCUUGCUAGAGUUGGAAGAGUUGCGAACGGGUGAGUAACGCGUAGGUAACCUACCUAUUAGUGGGGGAUAACUAUUGGAAACGAUAGCUAAUACCGCAUAAUAGUGUUUAACACAUGUUAGAGACUUGAAAGAUGCAAUUGCAUCACUAGUAGAUGGACCUGCGUUGUAUUAGCUAGUUGGUGGGGUAACGGCCUACCAAGGCGACGAUACAUAGCCGACCUGAGAGGGUGAUCGGCCACACUGGGACUGAGACACGGCCCAGACUCCUACGGGAGGCAGCAGUAGGGAAUCUUCGGCAAUGGGGGCAACCCUGACCGAGCAACGCCGCGUGAGUGAAGAAGGUUUUCGGAUCGUAAAGCUCUGUUGUAAGAGAAGAACGUGUGUGAGAGUGGAAA